AAACUGAUAUGCAUGAAAUGUAGACUAUAGUGAAAUGUAGAACUUUGAGAUAUAGUUAUUUCAUCACAAUUUGACAAUUUAAAAAAAAAUAAGAUAAGGCAUUUUUUUGUUCUAUUCCAGAAUAAUUCUUGCUGCUAUGCAUUAUAAUGAAAAUGCUGGCAGACCACAGAAAGUGACAAAGGAAGGAAUACACUCCUACUGUAUCGUUUAUCCCAAAUUUAAGAGUGGUGGGUAUUCUCUGAGAAAGAUAUUGGUGGAUGCAAUUUAUGGUAAAUUAUGAAAUAAAAAGUAAUUCCAGGCAGAUGCAUUACAAACUGAGUAUAACCCAUAUGUCGUCCAAAUAUUUAUCGUCCCAAUGUUUUUUGUUUUUUAUUUAUGUGAAUGACUGCCUGUCAGAGGUGAUGAAACCGACUGCCAUUCAAAAUAAAGUCAUCAAUGCCACCUGGAAUCCAUAUGGGUCUGGGCACACAUCAUUGAGUCCAGGAUGGUCGGUAAUGCAGUCCAGCACCUGAUUGAAGUGUUUCUCUCCUUCUCGACGUACAGUCACUUCUUGAAUUUCAUGGCAGCAAACACAUUCAACAGCUGUAGGCAUUUGCUGGCAUUUACCAUAAGUACACCUGGGGGAAAAAAAAAGUUAAAUACUGAGCGAUGACACCAUGAGCAUAAAUUUUAUUGAACAAGCAUAUUGCUCACAGUUGUCACUGGGUGGUACCACCACAUUACCGGUCACUUACAUUACGGAAUGUCCUACGAUACUUAUUUGUCAUGUCCCUGUUUAUGAUACUAAUGCAGCGUGUUAUACCGGAGACAAAUUCCUUUUGUCUUCUACAUACUUGACCGAUAAAGACGAUUCUGAU